rnacentral:rRNA from 1 species
CAUUUAAAGUGGUACGCGAGCUGGGUUUAGAACGUCGUGAGACAGUUCGGUCCCUAUCUGCCGUGGGCGCUGGAGAACUGAGGGGGGCUGCUCCUAGUACGAGAGGACCGGAGUGGACGCAUCACUGGUGUUCGGGUUGUCAUGCCAAUGGCACUGCCCGGUAGCUAAAUGCGGAAGAGAUAAGUGCUGAAAGCAUCUAAGCACGAAACUUGCCCCGAGAUGAGUUCUCCCUGACCCUUUAAGGGUCCUGAAGGAACGUUGAAGACGACGACGUUGAUAGGCCGGGUGUGUAAGCGCAGCGAUGCGUUGAGCUAACCGGUACUAAUGAACCGUGAGGCUUAACCUU